UACAGAGGUGGCAAGCGUUGUUCGGAAUUACUGGGCGUAAAGGGCCAGUAGGCGGCCAACUAAGUCGGAUGUGAAAUCCCCAGGCUCAACUUGGGAACUGCAUCCGAUACUGGAUGGCUUGAAUUCGGGAGAGGGAUGCAGAAUUCCAGGUGUAGCGGUGAAAUGCGUAGAUAUCUGGAGGAAUACCGGUGGCGAAGGCGGCAUCCUGGACCGACAUUGACGCUGAACGGCGAAAGCUAGGGGAGCAAACGGG
rnacentral:rRNA from 1 species